rnacentral:rRNA from 1 species
AUGAUCCGCAGAGCAGUGGCGGUAGCAGCAACAAGCAAGUCGAGCACAAGUCAACUAUCAGAAACAUUGCCACCAGCUGACAUUGACAAUGAAUACGGGGGAUUAACUAAAGCAGCAGAAGCAGACAAUGAUGGCACAAGGACAGUCCAAACAGCAGGAGCAGUAGCAGUAGCAGCAACAGCAACAACAACACCGGUAGACCGUCAUGGCGUGAGCACAAGUCAACCAUCAGAAACACCAGCACCAGCUGCUAUUGACGGUGAUGAUGGGGCAUCACCUAUACUAGCGCUACUGAGAAGGAGGGCACACGAUCUGGAUAACUGGUUUUCCAAUAAGAAGAAGUUGCGCAGACGCCAACGACUUAAUGAUAAUGGUGGUGGUGUUAAGGUUCAGGCUCACGGGAUUGGGAAUAUGGCGGCCUUGCGUACACUCGGUGUCGUGAAUGUGAGUGGUGCAGGUGGGAAGGCCAUCCUCAAGGAGGUAAAUAAGCUUACCCAGUUGCGCAAGCUCGGCGUGUCUGGUAUCAACCGCAAAAACUGGCACGACUUGUACUCUGCCAUUUCAGGACAUGGUCAUCUCGAGUCAUUGUCAGUAUAUUUUGACAAGGGGGAACCUGCAACAAGUUUUUUUUCUCGUUCGAGUGACAUGUUCUCCGGCCUACCCAAGAGUCUGAAGAGCCUUAAGCUGUAUUCGACGGGUGGGGAAGUACAAGUACCGCCGGUCUUGGUGAAGCAUCUUUACUGUCUCAGAAAGUCUCGUUUUGACCUCAUAGUGUCGACGCAAGAAGAUAUAUACAGCAUUACGGAAUUUCCUCAUCGACGUGCAUUUCGUAAUAUUUAUGUCAAGCCGGUUCAAGAUGGCCAGCUCCAUUAUGGUCAGCGGGAUGAGACGUUGUAUUGUGAUGGUUUCACUGACGCCCCAAUCCUCAAGAUUGACUGUGGCAGCUACAAGCUGGCGAUAUGUUUUGGAUAUUGGAUACCAGAAUACAUUGAGGUGCUGGUGGUUGACUGCUCUACUGCUGAGGCUUCUUUGGAGGUGUCUGGAUUAAAGGAAUUAUCUAGACUCAAGGAGGUGUGGCUCAAGGGUUCCUACAGCGAGGCAAUCAAGCAACAUUUGCAGCAGAAACUUGAUGAGCUACACAGCUCACGCUUGGAGGAGGCAGUUAAGUACGGCAGGGAGUCCAGGUACACAAGAGCUGUCCUGAGGCUGGAGGACCAAGCACAUCCGUCCUGA